rnacentral:rRNA from 1 species
GGUGCAGCAGGCGCGAAAAACUGUACAAUACAGGCAACAGCGAUAAGGGAACCUUGAGUGCCAGGAAACAAAUCUGGCUGUCGAGAUGCCUAAAAAGCAUUUCAUAGCAAGGGCCGGACAAGCCCGGUCCCAGCCGCCGCGGUAACUCAGGCGGCUCGAGUGGUAACCGUUAUUAUUGGGUUUAAAGGGUCUGUAGCCGGCCGGAUAAGUCUCUUGAGAAAUCAGGCAGCUUAAAUGUCAGGCUUUCAGGAGAUACUGUUUGGCUUGAGGCCGGGAGAGGUGAGAGGUACUUCAGGGGUAGGGGUGAAAUCUUGUAAUCCUUGAAGGACCACCAGUGGCGAAGGGGUGUCACCAGAACGGACCUGACGGCAAGGGACGAAAGCUAGGGGCACGAACCGGAUUAGAUACCCGGGUAGUCCUAGCCGUAAACGAUACUCGCUAGGUGUGGGUCACGGUGCGACCGUUGUCGGUGCCGUAGGGAA